rnacentral:tRNA from 4 species
GGGCCUGUAGUUCAGUUGGUUAGAACCCGCCGCUCAUAACGGCGUUGUCGGGGGUUCAAGUCCCUCCGGGCCCACCA